UUUCCGUAGGUGAACCUGCGGAAGGAUCAUUAUCGUACAAAAUGUGAGGGGCAUGCGAGGGCUGUCGCUGACCCGAAAGGUCGUGCACGCCCGAGUGCCCUCACACACAUCCAUCUCACCCCUAUGUGCACCACCGCGUGGGUCCCCCUUUGGCUUGUUCGGAGGGGGGCUUACGUUUUCACACAAACUUUGUAUGCAGUGUAGAAUGUAUUUUUUGUUUUUGCGAUCACGCAAUCAAUACAACUUUCAACAAUGGAUCUCUUGGCUCUC
rnacentral:misc_RNA from 1 species